rnacentral:rRNA from 1 species
AGGCCUUUCGGGGUACACGAGCGGCGAACGGGUGAGUAACACGUGGGUGAUCUGCCUCGCACUCUGGGAUAAGCCUGGGAAACUGGGUCUAAUACCGGAUAGGACCACUGAUCGCAUGGUUGGUGGUGGAAAGAUUUAUCGGUGUGAGAUGGGCCCGCGGCCUAUCAGCUUGUUGGUGGGGUAAUGGCCUACCAAGGCGACGACGGGUAGCCGGCCUGAGAGGGCGACCGGCCACACUGGGACUGAGACACGGCCCAGACUCCUACGGGAGGCAGCAGUGGGGAAUAUUGCACAAUGGGCGGAAGCCUGAUGCAGCGACGCCGCGUGAGGGAUGACGGCCUUCGGGUUGUAAACCUCUUUCGACAGGGACGAAGCGCAAGUGACGGUACCUGUAGAAGAAGCACCGGCCAACUACGUGCCAGCAGCCGCGGUAAUACGUAGGGUGCGAGCGUUGUCCGGAAUUACUGGGCGUAAAGAGCUUGUAGGCGGUUUGUCGCGUCGUCCGUGAAAACUUGGGGCUCAACCCCAAGCUUGCGGGCGAUACGGGCAGACUUGAGUACUUCAGGGGAGACUGGAAUUCCUGGUGUAGCGGUGAAAUGCGCAGAUAUCAGGAGGAACACCGGUGGCGAAGGCGGGUCUCUGGGAAGUAACUGACGCUGAGAAGCGAAAGCGUGGGUAGCGAACAGGAUUAGAUACCCUGGUAGUCCACGCCGUUAAACG